rnacentral:rRNA from 1 species
CGAGGUAGCAAUACCUAGCGGCAGACGGGUGAGUAACAUGUGGGAAUCUGCCUUUUGGUUCGGAACAACACGGGGAAACCUGUGCUAAUACCGGAUAAGUCCUAACGGAGAAAGUUUUAAUGCCAAAAGAUGAGCCCGCAUUUGAUUAGCUAGUUGGUGGGGUAAAGGCUCACCAAGGCGACGAUCUAUAGCUGGUCUGAGAGGAUGAUCAGCCACACUGGCACUGAGAUACGGCCCAGACUCC